AGAUUGAACGCUGGCGGCAUGCCUAACACAUGCAAGUCGAACGGGAGUAGCAAUACUCUAGUGGCGGACGGGUGAGGAAUACGUAGGAAUUUGCCCUUAAGUGGGGGAUAACCCGGGGAAACCCGGAUUAAUACCGCAUGACCUCGAAAGAGCAAAGUGGGGGAUCGCAAGACCUCACGCUUUUGGAGAAGCCUACGUCGGAUUAGCUAGUUGGUGAGGUAAUGGCUCACCAAGGCGACGAUCCGUAACUGGUCUGAGAGGAUGAUCAGUCACACCGGAACUGAGACACGGUCCGGACUCCUACGGGAGGCAGCAGUGGGGAAUAGUUGGACAAUGGGGCGC
rnacentral:rRNA from 1 species